rnacentral:rRNA from 1 species
GAUGAACGCUAGCGGCAGGCUUAACACAUGCAAGUCGAGGGGCAGCGGGGAGGAAGCUUGCUUUCUCCGCCGGCGACCGGCGCACGGGUGAGUAACACGUAUGCAACCUGCCCCUGUCAGGGGGACAACCCGCCGAAAGGCGGGCUAAACCCGCGUACAUGCCACCGGGGCAUCCCGGAGGCAGGAAAGGCUUCGGCCGGACAGGGAUGGGCAUGCGGCGCAUUAGGCAGUAGGCGGGGUAACGGCCCACCUAACCGACGAUGCGUAGGGGUUCUGAGAGGAAGGUCCCCCACACUGGUACUGAGACACGGACCAGACUCCUACGGGAGGCAGCAGUGAGGAAUAUUGGUCAAUGGUCGGGAGACUGAACCAGCCAAGCCGCGUGAGGGAGGAAGGUACAGAGUAUCGUAAACCUCUUUUGUCAGGGAACAAAGGCGGGGACGUGUCCCCGGAUGAGUGUACCUGAAGAAAAAGCAUCGGCUAACUCCGUGCCAGCAGCCGCGGUAAUACGGAGGAUGCGAGCGUUAUCCGGAUUUAUUGGGUUUAAAGGGUGCGCAGGCGGUCUGUUAAGUCAGCGGUCAAAGCCCGGGGCUCAACCCCGGCCCGCCGUUGAAACUGGCAGUCUCGAGUUGGAGAGAAGUAUGCGGAAUGCGCGGUGUAGCGGUGAAAUGCAUAGAUAUCGCGCAGAACUCCGAUUGCGAAGGCAGCAUGCCGGCUCCACACUGACGCUGAGGCACGAAAGCGUGGGUAUCGAACAGGAUUAGAUACCCUGGUAGUCCACGCAGUAAACGAUGAAUGCUGGCUGUCCGGGGGGAUUGACCCCUGGGUGGCGAAGCGAAAGCGAUAAGCAUUCCACCUGGGGAGUACGCCGGCAACGGUGAAACUCAAAGGAAUUGACGGGGGCCCGCACAAGCGGAGGAACAUGUGGUUUAAUUCGAUAAUACGCGAGGAACCUUACCCGGGCUCAAACGGGGAGUGACUCAGGCAGAGACGCCUGUUUCCCACGGGACACUCCCCGAGGUGCUGCAUGGUUGUCGUCAGCUCGUGCCGUGAGGUGUCGGCUUAAGUGCCAUAACGAGCGCAACCCCCGCGUGCAGUUGCUAACAGAUAACGCUGAGGACUCUGCACGGACUGCCGGCGCAAGCCGCGAGGAAGGCGGGGAUGACGUCAAAUCAGCACGGCCCUUACGUCCGGGGCGACACACGUGUUACAAUGGGUGGUACAGCGGGAAGCCAGGCGGCGACGCCGAGCGGAACCCGAAAUCCACUCUCAGUUCGGAUCGGAGUCUGCAACCCGACUCCGUGAAGCUGGAUUCGCUAGUAAUCGCGCAUCAGCCAUGGCGCGGUGAAUACGUUCCCGGGCCUUGUACACACCGCCCGUCAAGCCAUGGGAGCCGAGGGCGCUUGAAGUGCGUCGCCGCGAGGCGCGCCCUAGAGCGAAAUCGGUGACUGGGGCU